CGGGGCGAGGGCGGAGCCUGGGGGCCGAGCGGCCCGCGCCGGCUGGCCUGACCUCCCCGAACGCUGGGCCCGUGACGUCACCCCGCCGUGACGCGCACGCUGUAGGAAAACUAAUUAAUUAAAAGGAUUUAUGGUAUAUCUUAUGACUCUACAGGAGCCUUGGGAUAUAGAGACGGGGCCUUGCUAUAUUGCCCAUGCUGGUCUUGAACUUCUGGCCUCAAGCAAUCCUUCUGGCCUAGCCUCCCAAAUUACAGGAGGAUUAGAAGAAGGAAUCAUAUGUGGCUCAUGUGUCUAUGUUCUGACCUUGUAUUAGAUAGAAAUGAAUGCCAUUUCCCAUCCAGUACUGAAGUGUUAAAGUUAGAAGACAUUUGCUAAGUCAAAUCACUUCAGGUGUGUUGAAGAAAGUACACACGUCUUAUCUUCUGAACAUUUUGAUGGGAUUAACCACAAACCUCAUGCAAGAACAGUAAAAGGUA